CAUAUAUUUAUCAAGAGUUUGGCUUGGCUGUAGUCAUGCUAACAUCAGUGAUCCUCAAGACUUUUGCCUAGCAUCAAGUGCCACUAAUAGAUCAAAGUCUUGGUCAGAUGGGGUUCAAACCACACAAGACUUCCUGGUCCUUGACUUUUUAGGAGGACACAAGGCGACAGCUCAAACCUUCAUGGCUUUUACCCAGGUUGUUUUUGAGGACUUGCUGCAUCUCAACACAUGUGCUCCUUGCCUUGCUGCACAUAGACACAUGUGCUCCUUGCCUUACUAGAUUCCAAUACACUGCUCCUCACUGUUAAGGAAGGCCAAAAAAACUUACCAGUCCAAUGCUGCUGCAAUGGAGC
rnacentral:lncRNA from 1 species